rnacentral:rRNA from 1 species
GGAUGAACGCUGGCGGCGUGCCUAAUACAUGCAAGUCGAGCGAAUGGAUUGAGAGCUUGCUCUCAAGAAGUUAGCGGCGGACGGGUGAGUAACACGUGGGUAACCUGCCCAUAAGACUGGGAUAACUCCGGGAAACCGGGGCUAAUACCGGAUAACAUUUUGAACUGCAUGGUUCGAAAUUGAAAGGCGGCUUCGGCUGUCACUUAUGGAUGGACCCGCGUCGCAUUAGCUAGUUGGUGAGGUAACGGCUCACCAAGGCAACGAUGCGUAGCCGACCUGAGAGGGUGAUCGGCCACACUGGGACUGAGACACGGCCCAGACUCCUACGGGAGGCAGCAGUAGGGAAUCUUCCGCAAUGGACGAAAGUCUGACGGAGCAACGCCGCGUGAGUGAUGAAGGCUUUCGGGUCGUAAAACUCUGUUGUUAGGGAAGAACAAGUGCUAGUUGAAUAAGCUGGCACCUUGACGGUACCUAACC